rnacentral:rRNA from 1 species
GAUGAACGCUGGCGGCGUGCCUAAUACAUGCAAGUCGAGCGAACGGACGAGAAGCUUGCUUCUCUGAUGUUAGCGGCGGACGGGUGAGUAACACGUGGAUAACCUACCUAUAAGACUGGGAUAACUUCGGGAAACCGGAGCUAAUACCGGAUAAUAUUUUGAACCGCAUGGUUCAAAAGUGAAAGACGGUCUUGCUGUCACUUAUAGAUGGAUCCGCGCUGCAUUAGCUAGUUGGUAAGGUAACGGCUUACCAAGGCAACGAUGCAUAGCCGACCUGAGAGGGUGAUCGGCCACACGGGAACUGAGACACGGUCCAGACUCCUACGGGAGGCAGCAGUAGGGAAUCUUCCGCAAUGGGCGAAAGCCUGACGGAGCAACGCCGCGUGAGUGAUGAAGGUCUUCGGAUCGUAAAACUCUGUUAUUAGGGAAGAACAUAUGUGUAAGUAACUGUGCACAUCUUGACGGUACCUAAUCAGAAAGCCACGGCUAACUACGU